CCUACGGGAGGCAGCAGUGAGGAAUAUUGGUCAAUGGGCUUACGCCUGAACCAGCCAAGUCGCGUGCGGGAAGACUGCCCUAUGGGUUGUAAACCUCUUUUGUCAGGGAGCAACGCCGGCUACGUGUAGCCGGACUGAGAGUACCUGAAGAAAAAGCCUCGGCUAAUUCCGUGCCAGCAGCCGCGGUAAUACGGAGGAUGCGAGCGUUAUCCGGAUUUAUUGGGUUUAAAGGGUGCGUAGGCGGAAUGCCAAGUCAGCGGUAAAAUCGCGGGGCUCAACCUCGCGCCGCCGUUGAAACUGGCGGUCUUGAGUGGGCGAGAAGUAUGCGGAAUGCGUGGUGUAGCGGUGAAAUGCAUAGAUAUCACGCAGAACUCCGAUUGCGAAGGCAGCAUACCGGCGCCCAACUGACGCUGAAGCACGAAAGCGUGGGUAUCGAACAGGAUUAGAUACCCGGGUAGUC
rnacentral:rRNA from 1 species